rnacentral:lncRNA from 1 species
GUUUCCCCCCUUUAAUCCCCCUCUCCCUACGGUCGAGCUGGAUUAAUUCCCCCUCGGGGGGAUUUACUCCUUACCUAGAGUAUAACUUGUAUAGUAUUUGUGCCCUAAUGAAGUACCGUUCGACUCCUGUAGGGGAGUCUCACUCGCUUUCAGGAGAUUAUUCAUAGAAAAAGAAGUUUACCUGUUGCUUAAGGAAUCCCGUACAAACAAGAUAAUGCAACUCCUUUCUACCGUUCGGCUCCUGUAGAGGGGAGCCUCACUCUCUUACAGUUAAUUCAAAGGGUUACUCUUUCUCUGGCUAAUGGGAAUACUACUACUUUCUACCGCUCGGCUCCUGUCGGGGAGCCUCACUCUCUUGCAGAGGAUUUAAAGGUUUAGGAUUCACCUUGACAACCGCCACACACAUUGGGUCAUUCACUCACUCCCGCAUUGGGCGUCCCUCCCCCCUACGCUUUUUGGGCUACGGGGGGGACGCCCUGAGUGCGUUCGUUCAUUCCCACUAAAAAAGAGGAUAUAAUGUAUUUAUUUAUAUGUUGGGGACUUAGAGUGGAUACUAAUCCCCAUCUUUUCUUGAAGGAGCGUUCGGCUCCUGUAGGGGAGCCUCACUCUCUUACAGAGGGAAUUCUUCAUAUUGGGAUGAUUGUUAAGUACCCUACCUAGAUUUAUUCUAUUCUGUAAAGGUGCUCGCUCCGCUCGGGGCAGCCUACUUGCUUGUCCUUCCUUCGAUUGAAAUACCGUUCGGCUCCUGUCGGGGAGCCUCACUACCGUUCCGUUUACUCUUCAUAUUAGGAAGUUGUAGUUACCAUACCUAUUUUCUCUAGGCUGAAAGACAACAGGCGAUGUGACUUGUUUGUCUACUUUUCUUUCCAUCUUAUGAAGUAUCGUUCGACUCCUGUCGGGGAGUCUCACUUUCUUUCAGGUUAUUUUUCAAGCAGGGGAAUAUUUACGUAGGUGACCAAUGAACCUUACUGCCUAUGGAGGUGUAUUUACCACCGUGAACGUUCAAGAGAUUAACCGCGUACCGCGAUCAACUCUUGAGCGACUAACUAAGGGGAGUAAGACAAGACGGCAUUGGUUGUUCCAAGUGAGUUUAAAGAAUUCACGAGAGCUUUUAUGCUUGGGAUAGGUUAGACCUAUCUGUUUUCUUUAAUCCCCUUGGUUCUUCGCAUUGGAAAUAGGACGGGGAGUGGUGACCCCUAUCAGCCUUUUCCACUCGAUACGCUAUACUGAAGCGAUGGUGGCUCCAUACCCUGAAAGACGGAUAGGAGGAUUCUAUAGUAUUUUGUAGGCUCCCUUAUCCCUCAGGGGAGGUGAACCGGAGAAGAAGGCAGCCCUCGUUACGAAAGGCAGCUGGAUGGCUCAGUAAGAUGGGGGAGUGGGGUAGUGGAGGACGAUAAAGCCUCCACUACUAGACUCCCCAAUCUUACACUACUCUCUUAAAGGAAGUCCUUUAUAAAAGGAACUUCUACUUACAGUUGUUCUUCCUACUAAGAGGAAGUCUCUUAAGAAGAAAGCGGUUUGAGACCCUUAAUCAAGUCCUAACUAAAAUAAAGGGAUUUAACGCUAGUUUAAAGGGUUUUAGGUACCAUCAUACGCAGCAAGUCUAAAACGACGGUUUCCCCUUAGGGACUUUUGUCGUAGUUAUCCUUCUUGCAAGAAAAGCAUAAGGAACGUUUCCCCCCUUUAAUCCCCCUCUCCCUACGGUCGAGCUGGAUUAAUUCCCCCUCGGGGGGAUUUACUCCUUACCUAGAGUAUAACUUGUAUAGUAUUUGUGCCCUAAUGAAGUACCGUUCGACUCCUGUAGGGGAGUCUCACUCGCUUUCAGGAGAUUAUUCAUAGAAAAAGAAGUUUACCUGUUGCUUAAGGAAUCCCGUACAAACAAGAUAAUGCAACUCCUUUCUACCGUUCGGCUCCUGUAGAGGGGAGCCUCACUCUCUUACAGUUAAUUCAAAGGGUUACUCUUUCUCUGGCUAAUGGGAAUACUACUACUUUCUACCGCUCGGCUCCUGUCGGGGAGCCUCACUCUCUUGCAGAGGAUUUAAAGGUUUAGGAUUCACCUUGACAACCGCCACACACAUUGGGUCAUUCACUCACUCCCGCAUUGGGCGUCCCUCCCCCCUACGCUUUUUGGGCUACGGGGGGGACGCCCUGAGUGCGUUCGUUCAUUCCCACUAAAAAAGAGGAUAUAAUGUAUUUAUUUAUAUGUUGGGGACUUAGAGUGGAUACUAAUCCCCAUCUUUUCUUGAAGGAGCGUUCGGCUCCUGUAGGGGAGCCUCACUCUCUUACAGAGGGAAUUCUUCAUAUUGGGAUGAUUGUUAAGUACCCUACCUAGAUUUAUUCUAUUCUGUAAAGGUGCUCGCUCCGCUCGGGGCAGCCUACUUGCUUGUCCUUCCUUCGAUUGAAAUACCGUUCGGCUCCUGUCGGGGAGCCUCACUACCGUUCCGUUUACUCUUCAUAUUAGGAAGUUGUAGUUACCAUACCUAUUUUCUCUAGGCUGAAAGACAACAGGCGAUGUGACUUGUUUGUCUACUUUUCUUUCCAUCUUAUGAAGUAUCGUUCGACUCCUGUCGGGGAGUCUCACUUUCUUUCAGGUUAUUUUUCAAGCAGGGGAAUAUUUACGUAGGUGACCAAUGAACCUUACUGCCUAUGGAGGUGUAUUUACCACCGUGAACGUUCAAGAGAUUAACCGCGUACCGCGAUCAACUCUUGAGCGACUAACUAAGGGGAGUAAGACAAGACGGCAUUGGUUGUUCCAAGUGAGUUUAAAGAAUUCACGAGAGCUUUUAUGCUUGGGAUAGGUUAGACCUAUCUGUUUUCUUUAAUCCCCUUGGUUCUUCGCAUUGGAAAUAGGACGGGGAGUGGUGACCCCUAUCAGCCUUUUCCACUCGAUACGCUAUACUGA